rnacentral:rRNA from 1 species
UACGUAGGAGACAAACGUUAUCCGGAGUUACUGGGCGUAAAGGGCGUGUAGGCGGUUUGUUAAGUCGGAUGUGAAAUCCCUCGGCUCAACUGAGGAAGUGCAUCCGAAACUGGCAAGCUUGAGUACGAAAGAAGGGUCGCGGAAUUCCCGGUCGUAGAGGUGGAAAUUCGUAGAUAUCGGGAGGAACACCGGUGGCGAAGGCGGCGACCUGGGUCGAUACUGACGCUGAGGUGCGAAAGCGUGGGGAGCAAACAGG